AUUGAACGCUGGCGGCAUGCCUUACACAUGCAAGUCGAACGGUAACAGGUCUUCGGAUGCUGACGAGUGGCGAACGGGUGAGUAAUACAUCGGAACGUGCCCGAUCGUGGGGGAUAACGGAGCGAAAGCUUUGCUAAUACCGCAUACGAUCUACGGAUGAAAGCAGGGGACCGCAAGGCCUUGCGCGGACGGAGCGGCCGAUGGCAGAUUAGGUAGUUGGUGGGAUAAAAGCUUACCAAGCCGACGAUCUGUAGCUGGUCUGAGAGGACGACCAGCCACACUGGGACUGAGACACGGCCCAGACUCCUACGGGAGGCAGCAGUGGGGAAUUUUGGACAAUGGGCGCAAGCCUGAUCCAGCCAUGCCGCGUGCAGGAUGAAGGCCUUCGGGUUGUAAACUGCUUUUGUACGGAACGAAAAGACUCUGGUUAAUACCUGGGGUCCAUGACGGUACCGUAAGAAUAAGCACCGGCUAA
rnacentral:rRNA from 1 species